CAAUACUUGAGCUAGAGUGUCGUACGGGUGCGUAACACGUAUGCAACCUACCUUUUACAGGAGUAUAGCUCCCCGAAAGGGGAAUUAACCCUCCAUAAUAUCAUUGGAUGGCAUCAUUUGAUGAUUAAAACUGAGGUGGUAAAAGAUGGGCAUGCGUCUGAUUAGUUAGUUGGCAGUGUAACGGACUACCAAGACGAUGAUCAGUAGGGGACCUGAGAGGGUGAUCCCCUACACUGGCACUGAGAUACGGGCCAGACUCCUACGGGAGGCAGCAGUAGGGAAUAUUGGACAAUGGGUGAGAGCCUGAUCCAGCCAUGCCGCGUGCAGGAAGAAGGCGUUAUGCGUUGUAAACUGCUUUUGCCAGGGGAUAAAACGGUUCUGCGGAACUAAUUGAAGGUACCUGGUGAAUAAGCCACGGCUAACUACGUGCCAGCAGCCGCGGUAAUACGUAGGUGGCAAGCGUUGUCCGGAUUUAUUGGGUUUAAAGGGUGCGUAGGCGGCCCUGUAAGUCAGUGCUGAAAUAUCCCGGCUUAACCGGGAGGGUGGCAUUGAUACUGCAGGGCUUGAGUACAGAUGAGGUAGGCGGAAUUGACGGUGUAGCGGUGAAAUGCAUAGAUAUCGUCAAGAACACCGAUAGCGAAGGCAGCUUACCAAGCUGUAACUGACGCUGAGGCACGAAAGUGUGGGGAUCAAACAGGAUUAGAUACCCUGGUAGUCCACACUGUAAACGUUGAUGACUCGAUGUUGGCGAUAUACAGCCAGCGUCCAAGAGCAAUCGUUAAGUCAUCC
rnacentral:rRNA from 1 species